UGGGGAAUUUUGGACAAUGGGCGAAAGCCUGAUCCAGCAAUGCCGCGUGUGUGAAGAAGGCCUUCGGGUUGUAAAGCACUUUUGUCCGGAAAGAAAUCCUUGGCUCUAAUACAGUCGGGGGAUGACGGUACCGGAAGAAUAAGCACCGGCUAACUACGUGCCAGCAGCCGCGGUAAUACGUAGGGUGCAAGCGUUAAUCGGAAUUACUGGGCGUAAAGCGUGCGCAGGCGGUUUGCUAAGACCGAUGUGAAAUCCCGGGCUCAACCUGGGAACUGCAUUGGUGACUGGCAGGCUAGAGUAUGGCAGAGGGGGGUAGAAUUCCACGUGUAGCAGUGAAAUGCGUAGAGAUGUGGAGGAAUACCGAUGGCGAAGGCAGCCCCCUGGGCCAAGUACUGACGCUCAUGCACGAAAGCGUGGGGGAGCAAACAGGAUUAGAUACCCUGGUAGUCCACGCCCUAAACGAUGUCAACUAGUUGUUGGGGAUUCAUUUCCUUAGUAACGUAGCUAACGCGUGAAGUUGACCGCCUGGGGAGUACGGUCGCAAGAUUAAAACU
rnacentral:rRNA from 1 species